rnacentral:rRNA from 1 species
ACAUGCCUACAACAUAGCAUUAAUGCACUAGAUCCCAGUAGAACUCUGCAGUUAAGCGUGCUAAGGUAGAGUAGUACUGGGAUGGGUGACCUCUCGGGAAGUCCUAGUGUUUUACAUGCC